rnacentral:rRNA from 1 species
UUAUGUUCUUUAAACCUAAAGAAUUUGGCGGUGUUUUAUUCUAUUUAGAGGAAUUUGUACCUUAAUCGAUAAUCCUCGAUUUAUCUUACUUUAUUUUGUUUUCAGUAUGUAUACCGCCGUUAUAAGUUUAUUUUAUUAGGAAUAUAAUUUACUUAAAUCUUUAUAUGAUUUAUUUCAGGUCAAGGUGCAGUUUAUAAUAAAGUGGUUAUGAAUUACAAUAAAUAUUUGAUUAAACGAAUUUAAAUUUUAAAAUUUUAUUGAAGGUGGAUUUAAUUGUAAUUUUAUUUAUAAUAUUAAUUUGAUGUUAGCUCUAAAAUAAGUACACAUCGCCCG